AAUAUUAACGAUUUAAGUCCUUCUUGAAUGAGGCCAUUUAUAUCCAUAGAGGGUGCCAGGCCCGUAUAACGUUAAUGAUUACUAGAAGAUGUUUCCAAAGAGUCGUGUUGCUUGAUAGUGCAGCACUAAGUUGGUGGUAAACUCCAUCUAAAACUAAAUAUAACCAUGAGACCGAUAGUAAACAAGUACCGUGAGGGAAAGUUGAAAAGAACUCUGAAUAGAGAGUUAAAUAGUACGUGAAACUGCUUAGGGGUUAAGCCCGAUGAACCUGAAUAUCCAAUUAUGGAAAAUUCAACAUUAAUAUUUAUAAAUUUUAUAUUUAUAAAGAAUGGUGUGCACUUUUUCUAUAUUAAGGACAUUGUAAUCUAUUAACAUAUACAUAUUAUAUUUAUCAGAAGAUCAUAUUGCUUUUAAAGUUUAUUCAAAUUAAUUUAUUUAUUUAAAUUAACAUAAAAUAAAUGCAUAAUGAUUUGAUAAAGUGUUGAUAGAAUUUAAUAAUAUAUAGUGCUUAUUAAAUUUAUUUAAUUAAAGGAUAUUAUAUAUUAUAUAUGAUAUUUUUUAUGCACUAAUAUGAUUAACAAUGCGAAAGAUUCAGGAUACCUUCGGGACCCGUCUUGAAACACGGACCAAGGAGUCUAACAUAUGUCCAAGUUAUUGGGAUUUAAAAAUUUGUUUACAAAUUUUUAUAAAUAAAAUGAAACCCAAAAGCGUAAAUAACUUGACUUAAUAAAUGGGAUUAAUUUUUAGAAAUUUAAUAUUCUAAUUAUUCAAUCCUGGGGCGUUCUUUAUAGUUAUGUAUAAUAGUAUUUUUAAUAUUAUUUAUACCUCUAACUGGAGCGUACCUUGAGCAUAUAUGCUGUGACCCGAAAGAUGGUGAACUAUACUUGAUCAGGUUGAAGUCAGGGGAAACCCUGAUGGAAGACCGAAACAGUUCUGACGUGCAAAUCGAUUGUCAGAAUUGAGUAUAGGGGCGAAAGACCAAUCGA
rnacentral:rRNA from 1 species